UACGGAGGGUGCGAGCGUUGUCCGGAAUCAUUGGGCGUAAAGGGCGCGUAGGUGGCCCGGUCAGUCUUUGGUGAAAGCGCGGGGCUCAACCCUGCGUCGGCCAGGGAUACUGCCGCGGCUGGAGCACUGUAGAGGCAGGCGGAAUUCCGGGUGUAGCGGUGGAAUGCGUAGAGAUCCGGAAGAACACCGGUGGCGAAGGCGGACUGCUGGGCAGUUUUGCUGACACUGAGGCGCGACAGCGUGGGGAGCAAACAGG
rnacentral:rRNA from 1 species